GUGACGCAGGCGCGGUUGGAAAGAAGCUGAGGACUGGAUGUGCGGAAACCAGCCUUCUCCUUGCUGUUGCCAUGUGAAGAAGGAUGUGUUUGCUUCCCCUUCUGCCAUGAUUGUAAGUUUUCUGAAGCCUCUCCAGCCAUGCCAAACUGAAAAGAAGCAUAAGCUGCAAUAAAAAUUUGGUUUCAAGAUAACAAAGUCAGUCCCCAAAAAUCAGUAUUGAGAGUCACUGACAUUAAAUGAUGAAGAUACGAGGAUGGUGUGGGGACCUUUACUCUUCGAAGAUGAGCUAUACAUGCCCCUGAAAAGGCUGUCUGAAGACAGGGGAAGGCUGGAGAUGGCAACUUUGGCCUCUGCCAAGUACUCGUGCUAUUUUCUGUAUGUGAUACUAUCUGUUUUGUAACUCAGAGGCAACACCACAUACCUAGCAUAAGGCUUGAACUCCCUUUGGGGUUAUCAAUUACUUACAUAGCCUUCCUCUAAGGGAAGGCUUGCAAGUGGUUCAUAUUCGACCCUUCCAUGUGAUAAGCAUUCAUGUGGGCUUCACAAUGUAACAGAGGUACACAGAGAUUCUUGUAAACAGAAAAUUUUAUAAAACUGUUAACUGAUCUCACUUUGAAGAAGUCUUACUGACUAGAUGUCAUUUAUCAGAGUAGACAGGCUUAAAAUGCAUUGCUUGUACUAGACUGUUGUAAUGCAUUUUUUUGUUUUUGCAUUGGUUUUUAAUUCAUUUAAUUGGUUUACACUCAUUUUUUUUUUUACAUUCCAUUUUUGCAUUUGUAUGCCAGUUAAAAAUUAUGAAAUGGCACAUUGUGGGAUUUUGUUUAGCUAAAUUCUAGAAAAAUUGAAAGAUACCUUUUAUUCGACUUAAGCCUGAGGUUAUUCAGCACGGUGAUCUCUGCAUUUUUGAAAGGUUGUCUCGUCGUUUAAUAAACGUAAAUAACUUAAGCACAUUGGAAGAGCUAUUAAAUGAGAGCAGGAGAUUAAAAAGACAUGAUUUCUUACUUUAUCCACCUGACAGGAUAGCUUGCAUUGGUGAUUAACCUUGCAUUGUUAAAUUCAUUUCCUAAAUAUUUAGGUAAGUAGUUGGUUUGAUCAUUAUUUGUAAAGUAUUAGUAGUUGCAUGUUGAAUUAUCAUGUUAAGAUUUUUAGUUUGUUGUUCAUGUGAUAUGAAAGAUAACAAUUCCUAAAACUGAAUGCAUGCAUGGCUUAUUCAGCUCAGGUCACAUACAAAGAGAAAUGUGACGCUGCAAUAAACAUAGCAGAGCUAUCUGGGUUUGAAGCAAAAAGGCUAUGACGUUAGGUAUAUGCACUUUACAUUGUAUGUAUCUUUUUAGUUCUAGUGAACUCAUCUGGAAUCAUGUUACAGAAAAUGAUUCUCCAGGUCCAAACACAUUUAAGUUUAAUGACUGGGACUACUCUAACAAUUGCGGCUAUCUCAUUUUGUCUCAUUGGUUCAUUAGCAUAGCACCCAUUUAAGAACAACUACUUCUAAACACAGUAAUAUUUCAGAGGCUAUAAAAUAAUAGAGAAAGAAAACUUAAAAAAUCCUUUGUUUGCAGCCAAGAAAAUGUGAGGAUCAGAUUUGUACUUGUUUUGAACAAUUGGAAACUGUCACAAUUGUUUUUAAGAUGUAAUAAAUGUAUAUAAAAUAUGGGAUUCUAUAGUAUUAGCCAUUUUGAUAUCUUUUGUUGAAAGAAAAAACCAAAAAACCCCAUAUGUUCUAAGUCUCAGAAAUCAAAGAAUUCCACAAUUUUCAUUUCCACUAAAAUAUUUAUUUAAUGGAUAUCUUACAGAAAUAAAUAAAAACAGUUUUUGUCUAAUACAGAUAGGUUUUUUUAUAUAUAUGUAAUUUGAUUUUACAAAAUUGAAGCAUAUCAAAUUGUUUUCUCUAAAACAUAGCUCAGAAAGGAAUAGUAGAAAACAAACACAAAGAAAUACUGAAAUAGUCUCAUUUUUAAAUUAUAAGCAUGGGCCUUCUGAAUCUCAGCAUGACAUGUUAUUAGUAAAAGAAUGUAAGAUAUGGAGUCAGGGGACCUGGGCUCCACUGUUUACUUGCUACAUGUCCUAAGAAAGUUUCAAUAUAUCUGAACUUCAGUUCUCUACCUUUAAAACAGUAAAGAUAUUAAUUAUAUCAACUUCACAAGAUUGUUGGGUAAAUUAAACACGUAAAUGUACAUGAAAGCUCUUUUUAAUAUGUGAAGAGCUAUAAAAAUAACAGUUUGAUUUAAUUUCAUAUAAAAGAAUCAAUGGAUACCUCCUUUUAACUGAAGAAUAAGCACCAAAAGCAUGUGUGUGUUUUCUUCAGUUGAAUUACAUCACUCUAUAAACCUAGAGUAAGAAAAUGCACCUUAACUAAGCACCAAAGCCUCUCGGACAAAUGGGAUCUAGGGAAUGGUUCUAUGAGUUUUCCAGGCAGCUAACUGGGAGCUAAUAAGUCCUGAGGGUCAAAGAGGGUCCUUUAAAACUCUGAAGGCUCAAAGAAAAGGAAGCCAAAUAAGAACAUUUGUAUUACAUCAAAUGGCUAGGAUGUAACAAGCUACUCCUUAUUCAGCAAUUUCAAAGUCCAUUAAUUCCUCACAGAAGAAGAAACACUUCGUUAUUAUCACUUGCAACGAUUUGCUUAUGUGAACAUGGCAUUCUCUUGUUCAAAAGGUCAAAGACUCGUGCUUAAGGGAGGAACAACUGGAGUGAAAUAACAACUCUACCAUGAAUUCAGAUAUCACUGGCUAAAAAGUCUAGUUACACAAGAACAUGGGAAAGAAAAAGAAUCCAAGACAUCAGUAUAAUAAUGAUUAAAAAAAAAACCCUGCCAUAUUUCCAUGUUAUAAUAAAACAAAAUCAUAAAAACUGCAAUAUUUACAGAUACAUCAAUCUUACAACAUAUAAAAACUUUAACAAUAAGAAAAAUUAAGAGUAGGGAAAGCAGAUAAUUUUAAGGUAAUCAUUAAUACAUUAAAAAAUCUAUUUGGAGUUAACUGUUUACACUAACACCACUUUACACAUAAUAGAAAUAUGAAUAUUUUCAUUGUUUUUGUUUUCAGUAGCAAGAUGCAGAAGAAACAAAUAACUGUCUAACAUUAACUUAUUGUAAGGAGUUGUAUUACUGCAAAAUUACUAGGUGUAAAGUUAUGGUAUAAGCCUACUCAAAAAAUGGGUUAAUAUAAUUCACCAUCUACUUAAAAUAUUACUAACAAGAUAUUGGUGAAUCAUGUGCUAAAGAUACUGAAGGCCCUUCCAAAACUGAGAUCUAUGUUUGUUCAAUAUACCAGGUCAUAUAAAACUAGACUAGUUUACUUUCUUAUUCCAACUGUUUUAUGAGUGAUCUUAUCAUAAGAAAAGUACACAUUACCUCUCUUAAUUCCCUUGCAUCAUCAGAUAUAGAUACUAUUUGGGACAAAAAAUAAAUGUUUUAUUAGGAGUGUAAAAUUAAGAAUCUUUAUAGAUCUUUUGGAAACAGUAUAUUGAAAAGGACUCAAUAAGUACUAAGCCACUGUAUAACCAGAACAAUAAACAAAUUCAUUCAACUAGG
rnacentral:lncRNA from 1 species